rnacentral:lncRNA from 1 species
GGGUAACACCUGGAGUGAUGGCCGAAUCAGCUGAAAAGUCAUCCAUAACCGGAACAGUUUGAUCUAUCCCCAUUUGUCUCAAAACGCGCAAAGCGCAGUACCAAGUACAAUGGGUGAGACCCAGAAGAUAAACCCGAGAAUGGCGAAAGCUGACCUGGAUGAAACGGGUAACAUUGUACCAAGGAACGAACCACAAUAUCUCUUCGGGGCCCAACUCAAUCAGCCAUGAAGUCCAUGCAUCAGUAGAAGGGCGUGUGAUCAAGAUUCUCCGGGUACGAUACUGAGAAGGAUUGUAGGGUAAAAGAGUAGGAGCGGCAACCACUUGGAGAUGGUCCCUCAACCAUACCUGAGUAAUGGAUCCUUU